UUAACUUGCUCCUUGAUGUCAUUUAACCGGCCAGUUGGAGGGACUUUACUUUUCUCAUUCUCCUCGUCUUUCUUCUUCUUUUUCUUCUCAUCUUAGCCGUUCAAGGGAAUUUGUUGAAGAAUUAGGAAGGACUUACAUUCGAGUUUCAAUUUGUGGCAAAGGGCCCUGAGUUGCAAUGUACAUUUGAAUCGAUUGUUAGCAGAGGAAAAAUGGUGAAGAAGGAAGAACUGCAUUUCAAAGCAAAGGUGAAGGAUAUGAAGCCAAACCAUGAAGAAAUGAAGACCAAAUCAAUGGAGAAGGAAAAAUCAAAGCAUAAGGAGGAUAAGGGGGAGAAACAUAAAGUGAAGGAUAAAGAAAAACACAAGGAUAGUGAACUUGGAGAAAUGAAGAAUAAAUAGGAGAAAAAGAAGAAAA